GCACUCUAGAUUGUUUUCAGUUUUAGAUUGUGAAGUCUAGCUCCAGCCAACAGAGAUCAGACACAGUAGUAGAUGACCCCAAAUGCGUAAAAGAUAAAUAUGUCUGCUU